rnacentral:rRNA from 1 species
GAUGAACGCUAGCUACAGGCUUAACACAUGCAAGUCGAGGGGCAGCAUCAUCAAAGCUUGCUUUGAUGGAUGGCGACCGGCGCACGGGUGAGUAACACGUAUCCAACCUGCCGACAACACUGGGAUAGCCUUUCGAAAGAAAGAUUAAUACCGGAUGGCAUAAUUAUUCCGCAUGGGAUAAUUAUUAAAGAAUUUCGGUUGUCGAUGGGGAUGCGUUCCAUUAGGCAGUUGGCGGGGUAACGGCCCACCAAACCUACGAUGGAUAGGGGUUCUGAGAGGAAGGUCCCCCACAUUGGAACUGAGACACGGUCCAAACUCCUACGGGAGGCAGCAGUGAGGAAUAUUGGUCAAUGGACGAGAGUCUGAACCAGCCAAGUAGCGUGAAGGAUGACUGCCCUAUGGGUUGUAAACUUCUUUUAUACGGGAAUAAAGUGAGCCACGUGUGGUUUUUUGUAUGUACCGUAUGAAUA